rnacentral:rRNA from 1 species
GACAGAGGUGCCAAGCGUUAGGCGGAAUCACUGGGCUUAAAGCGUGUGUAGGCGGACCGUUAAGUACCUUGUGAAAUCCCACGGCUCAACCGUGGAACUGCUCGGUAUACUGGUGGUCUUGAGCUGCUUAGGGGUCGUCGGAACAAACGGUGGAGCGGUGAAAUGCGUAGAUAUCAGGAGGAACACCUGCGGUGUAGACGGCUUUCUGGACCAUUGCUGACGCUGAGACACGAAAGCGUGGGUAGCAAACAGG